UUUCGAAUCAUUCACAAUGGGCGAAAGCCUGAUGGUGCGACGCCGCGUGAGGGAUGAAGGCCUUCGGGUUGUAAACCUCUGUCACCGGGGAAGAAACGCUUCAAGUUAACAGCUUGAAGCCUGACUUAACCCGGAGAGGAAGCAGUGGCUAACUCUGUGCCAGCAGCCGCGGUAAUACAGAGACUGCAAGCGUUAUUCGGAUUCACUGGGCGUAAAGGGUGCGCAGGCGGUUGGGUGUGUCAGAUGUGAAAUCCCGAGGCUUAACCUCGGAACUGCGUCUGAAACUACUCGACUAGAGUACUGGAGAGGGUAACGGAAUUCACGGUGUAGCAGUGAAAUGCGUAGAUAUCGUGAGGAACACCAGAGGCGAAGGCGGUUACCUGGACAGUUACUGACGCUCAGGCACGAAAGCAUGGGGAGCAAAAGGGAUUAGAUACCCGUGUAGUCCCUGAGCGGGCUGGCAAGGCGCAU
rnacentral:rRNA from 1 species